GAUCAAAAGAAAAUAAGUUGGUUUCAUUUAUCAUGUUAAUGAACAAAUUGUGUUAAUUAUAUUGCAGAGCAUUUGGUCAUUGAUUCUAAUUCUGCAAGGGAUAAAGGGAAUGCCAGAUGAACUGCAAGAAGAAGAGGUGUCUAUAGGGGGAGGUGUGGGUGGCUCUGUAGCUGCCUAAUUGAGGGUAGAGACCACGAGAAAAGUCCAGCUGAUGGGGAGCUGCAUCAGCGUGGGGCUCUCCUCGACACCACUCUGCAGGAGACCGAUGCCAGGCUGUGAUGUGCUUGAGGGAUGAGGACAACAUGGGUGGCGUCGUGUCUAUUGUUCAUUUGGGUGCUCGAGUUGUACUCACAUUUUCUUAUCCCAAAGAAGGAACCAAGUUGAACAAGGUUCCUCUUCUCCAUCA